rnacentral:lncRNA from 10 species
UGGGGGGCCUCAUCCAAGUCACCAGGGGUUGUUUCUUGAUCACGCUCCCCGGGGUUUGGGCCUGGCAGCCCCUUGUCCCCGUCCCUGUCAGGCACUGUCAGAGCUGUUCACCCCACACCUCCUGAUGCCGCGGGGGCAGGGGUUCCAAAUGUGUACAGAGGCUUCAGAGUCCGGGGAGAGAGAAGGGGAUCCCAGCAGGCUGGAGGGUCCACAGGGCCCCCUCCGUUCCCCCCAGCUCCCUCCUCCGGAGCUGGGGCCAGCCUGGGGAGCUUCCCCUUCACAGCGCGAGGGCUGGCAGGGCAGGGGUGUGUGUGUGAGUGAGCAUGUGUGUGCAUCUGAAUAUGUGUGCAUGUGCUGAACAUGAACAUGUGUGAGCACCUGGCUGUGUAUGUAAAUAUGAAUAUGUGAGUGUGAGUGUAUGUAGUUGUGUGUGCAUGUGAAUAUGAGUGUGUGAGCAUGUCAGUGUGCAUGUGUGUGCAUGUGAGAGUGUGUGGGCAUGUAUAUGAGUGAGUGCAUGUGUGGGUGGUGCACAUGUGCUGGUGGCUUCCUCAGUGCAACUGGGGAGGAGUUAGGAGCCUUGUGUUCAUCCAACAGACUGCCUAACUGUGCUCCAAAGACCUCCUGACAUGCACCUGUGUGCACGUGUGCACACGCCUGUGCCUAUGCAGGUGGCUCUGCACGCGUGUGAGAACCAGAGAGUAUGUAUGCCCACAUGACACGAGUCAGGAAGAUUCCAGAGCGAGGCUUCCCAGGAGCCCGUUUUGUACACCCUUUUUCCUUUCAGGCAAAGCCUGAGUUCCACACACAAACGCAUUACAAGGACCCCUGCCUGAGGGACUCUGAGGGGGCCUCCAUGGAGCGUUUGAAAGUUUAAACAUGCACCUGUGCAGGCAUAACUUGCACGUGAAAAUAAACAAGGUGAAGGCUGGGCCCGGUGGCCCACGCCUGUAAUCCCAGCACUUUGGGAGGCCGAGGCGGGUGGAUCACGAGGUCAGGAGAUCGAGACCACAGUGAAACCCCG